UUAUCUCUCUAUCUUUCAAAGUUUUUUUCGUAUAUAUGUUCUCGAAUCCAAAGAGUCAAUUCCUUGCUCUCUCCUCCUUUAAUUUGGCAGAUGGGUUUUUCAAUUUAAUUCUCCACCCAUGACAGAGAGUCUGUGUGUAAAGAGAGCAGGCAAAAAGGGUUUGGCAUUUGGGCGGUGACGAUUGAGUUGCUGUUGCUCAAAAAAUGGAUUGCAACAAUGACAAGACUUUGAUGAGUGCAUCGAUUAUAUUGACGAAGCUACAAGAUCUAAUGAUGGUGUGUUCAUUCAUUGCUUUAUGGGAAGAUCCAAAAGGUGAUUUUAUCUUCCAGUAUAAGUUGUUGCUUUCAGGUUGUCUUCUUCUCUGUCUUAAUUUAAGCUAUCAGUUAAGUGAAUCCUUCAAAUAAGGUUCUGUUGAUCUCUUUGAUACAACAUGGAUAAGAAAUAAUGUUUUAGCAUAAAUUUUCUAUGAUUUUGCAUCUCAAUUAUUAAUAUUAGAAUAGAAAAAAAAUUUGGGCUUUCAAUUGCUGGUUUUAACUAGUUAAAGGUCAAUAAUUAUGUAGUUUUGUUGCCUAAUGACCAAUUUUAGAUAU